rnacentral:misc_RNA from 1 species
AGAUAAAACAGUGGCUAGCAUACUCUCAAGCAUGCGAAUCGUCAAACCAUUUCUGAGUACAUCACUUCCGCGUUGCCUUCGCAGGUGGAGACCGGCGCAAACGCGGGACGACUCUUUUGGAGUCCCGGACACGCGUCGCAAUCUGCGAAAGGGUCAGGAUUUUUUAAAUUCUCGUGUUUAAACGUCGUCCGUCCUCGUCUGAAACUAUAAUUACAAAACUACAA